AAACUAAUAUGUGAGAUCUCAGUUAGUCUUAUAAAUAUAAUAGAGCUAAAACUCUGAUUAAUCCAAUUAUAAUAUUUUGGACGGUGCUUAGAUCCAAGAAAUUAAGGCAGUUAAAUAUAUUAGGACCAGAGUAGUCUUAGGAUGAGUUACUUUUAGAAAAGUGAGGCGUCAUAGUUGAUAUUAGAGCAAAUUACCAGCCAAAGAUAUGAAAUGAGUUUCGGCUGAGGUAGGGUGAUACAGCUUGGUGACUAUUGUGGGUAGAGCGCAGCUCCACCACAAGGUCGGUUAAGGCUAGUGAGAAGAGUCUUACAUCGUCUGAUACUUGUGAGCCUGAGCUUAACGAAAAUGUCAGGACUUAAGAGAGAGAAGAAUGUAAAAUUUCUAGUAGUUCUAUAUAUAAGAUAUAAAAAGGCUAAAACUCUUAAUUUGAUAUAGUAUUUUAGGUGGUGGUGGAUAUAAGAGGUUAAGAGAGUUAAGCGUGGUAGGACUAGAGUAGUACUAAAAUGGGUGACCUCCUAAAAAGUGGGGCAUCACAUAAUAGUUGAAAUUCUGUAGCUUGCAUUGAUACUAAGGGCUUGUUUGGUUCAAGGGUGGAAUUGGAAUGGAUAAUGGAAUGAGAAUGAAUUGAAAUGGUAAUUGGAAUGGCUCGCUCUCCCAAGACGUUUGGUUUAUUUGUGGAUUGGGAAUUGGAAUGAGUUAUUCACAUUUCAUUGUUUGGUUCAUAUAAACUAAAAAAAUUAUAGGAUACUAUAAUACUAAUUUUACUCUCAAAUAUAAAUUUAUAUUAUUUAAAAUUUAUAAAAAAUAUAAUACUAUUCUCUAAUAAGUUUUUCAAAAAAAUAUCAAAUUUAUUUUUAAAAACUUAUUUUGAUGUGGGUUAGGGAUAGGGUUUUGAGAGAGGAUAGAUUUUUUUUUUUUUUGAUGAGAAAGGGGCGAAGAGAAGGAGGGUGAGAUGGUCACAUGGGCUUCGAGAACUUAGUGGGCUUCCGAAAUGAAAUCUCAAUCCGGGCUAGAAGACCGGAAUCAAGUUGAAGGCUAAUGGGCCAUUCCCAUUCCAGUCCGGAAUAGGAAUCCCAAAUCGAUUCAUGCGAACCAAACAAAAUUAACCGGAUUUGAUCAAAUCGAUUCCCAUUCCAUACCCAAAAUAGAUGAACCAAACAAGCCCUAAUUGUUAUAAAUCCGAUCUUCGCUCUGUUACUGAUUGUUGAGAUUCUAUAAUGAAACAAGUAUUCAAUUGAAUUUUUAAUAUAAAUCC
rnacentral:lncRNA from 1 species